rnacentral:pre_miRNA from 2 species
CCUCAGCAGCAGUGUUCUGGAAUCCUAUGUGAGGGACAAUCAUUCAGACCCUCAUAGCAGUGUUCCGGAAUUCUGUGUGAGGGA